UGGGGAAUAUUGCACAAUGGGCGGAAGCCUGAUGCAGCAACGCCGCGUGAGGGAUGAAGGCCUUCGGGUCGUAAACCUCUGUCCUUGGGGAAGAAACAAAUGACGGUACCCAUGGAGGAAGCCCCGGCUAACUACGUGCCAGCAGCCGCGGUAAUACGUAGGGGGCGGAGCGUUAUCCGGAAUUAUUGGGCGUAAAGAGUGCGUAGGUGGUUACCUAAGCGCAGGGUCUAAGGCAAUGGCUCAACCAUUGUUCGCCCUGCGAACUGGGCUACUUGAGUGCAGGAGAGGAGAGCGGAAUUCCUAGUGUAGCGGUGAAAUGCGUAGAUAUUAGGAGGAACACCAGUGGCGAAGGCGGCUUUCUGGACUGUUACUGACACUGAGGCACGAAAGCGUGGGGAGCAAACAGGAUUAGAUACCC
rnacentral:rRNA from 1 species